UCGAAAAUCACAUUGGUACAUGGCGGUAUUUGAAUCCAAGACCUGUAGAUUACAAGUAAAGUGCUUAACCUUUAACUAUGGAUGUGCAGUCUCACAGACCGCUCGUGGUUUGUGAUUCGGGUAUCCCGCACCAGACGCGUUUGCCGGCCUUAGUAGCUUCACGUUUAGUAGUGAAAUGAAGAUUGAAGCGAGAGGUUGCGUCGAUGGUUCCUUAUUGGUGAGUUAUUUGAUAUUUUAUUUCGAUCGCGGUCUGUAGGACCUCACGUCCGUGUUUUUGUAGUGCAUUGUGCUUACAAUAUUUUUUUAUUGUAGAUGUUUUUUGUUUGAAAAUGACGGAUAAUGAAAGGCCUAGUACUUCAGGAUCCAAAAGGAAGUCAAGCUCAUCUUUAGCUCCCAAGGAGAAUAAAUUAUUACGACUAGAUGACCCUUCUUUCGAAGAUGUACUUCUGGAAUCAGAUCAGUGUGAUAGUGAUGGAGACAUUGAUGACUGCUUACUACACGAACAGGACUUAGAUAAAAAUCACGUGAGUGAUCGAGAAAUGGCCGAGGACUCCAAAAUUUCCAAUUCUGUCAGAAGUUCUGAUGGUUCAGACGACGAUUCUCCACUUACACAGCUACGGACUAAGUAUUGCUAUGGCAAAAAUCGGUACAAAUGUGCUACCAAUCCACAGUCAAGAAGAGUUUGUACUGCACAGCACAACAUAGCGGUUAGUACUAGAUCCAUUGAACAGCUGACAGAAGAUGAAAAGAAAGAUCCCAUUAGUAUUUGGAAUAAACUUUUUGAUUCCGAAAUGCGGCAAACUAUUUUGACUUGGACCAACUUUAAAAUAGCCCAGCUGAGAGCCCACUUCAAGCGGCAAGAGAGGCCAGAAUUAAAAGAUGUAGAUAUGAUAGAAUUGAAUGCUUUCCUGGGAUUAUUGUAUUAUGCUGCUGUCCUGAAGUUGAAUCAUGCAGCGACAAGUUUUUUGUUUGCUACCGAUGGCACAGGCUCUGAAAUAUUCAGGUGCUGCUUGUCUGAAACCCGAUUUUUAGUCCUUUUGUCAUGCUUGCGCUUUGACAACCCAGCUGAUCGUUCUGAGAGACUAAAAACUAAUAAAUUAGCUGCUGUUUCUGGUAUAUUUACUGCUUUUGUUACCAAUUCUCAAAAACUAUAUAAUGUCAGUGAAUAUGUUACCAUAGACAAGAUGCUAAUAGAGUUUCGUGGAAGGACUCACAUGGUUAUGUACAUGCCUCACAAACCUGGUAAAUAUGGUCUUCUUAUUCAUGCAUUGUGUGACGCCAAGACCUUUUACUUUUAUAAUGGAUAUUUGUAUUCGGGUAAAGGCUGCGAUGGGACUGGAUUAUCAGAUGAUGAAAAAAAAUUUCUUGUACCCACUCAGUGCGUUUUACGACUGACACAGCCACUACAAGGAACCAAUCGUAAUGUGACAGCAGACAAUUGGUUUUCAUCUGUCGAGCUAGUAGAUGAACUGUCCAAGCGGAAACUUACGUACGUUGGGACAGUAAAAAAGAAUGAACGAGAAAUUCCGAACGAAUUUCAGCCACAUAAAUCAAGAGAGAUUGGAUCAACAUUAUUUGGCUUUACAAAUGAUAAAACUCUGUGUUCACAUGUACCAAAACAGAAUAAGGCAGAACUUCUGGUAUCUUCUAUGCAUCAUAGCAACAUAAUAGAUGAGAAGGCAACUAAACCGGAGAUGAUAUUAUUUUACAACUCCACCAAAGGCGCGGUAGAUGAAACCGACAAAAAUUGUUCGAUUUAUUCGAGUAGUCGACGAACAAAAAGGUGGCCUAUGGUGGUGUUCUACAGAAUUCUGGACUUAUGUGGCAUAAAUGCCUACAUUUUACAUAACCAACACCAACACAGAGGACUGGAUAGAGGUAAAUUUUUAAAGGAACUGGCACGAUCAUUGGUAGUACCUCAAUUGCAAAGAAGAGUUAUGAACUCUCGUUUGCCAAAUGAAUUGACACUGACGAUAAAACGUGUUUUGGGUCCUGAUAUGCCAAAUCCAGAAGUCCCAGAAACUACUGUUUCUAAACGCAGGACAUGUGCACUUUGCCCUCCAAAGAUAAAAAGAAAGACAACUUACAUAUGUGUAGGCUGUCGGCUGCCAAUAUGCCUUCAGUGCUCAAAGCCACAGUGCAAAAACUGCCAGUAAAAUGUCCAAGUUGUGUCAUUGUCAGAAUUUUUAUGUUUAUGUUUUUAGAAGAGAUGUUUUAUUUUCUGUAAUUUUAAUUUUAUAAAGUCACCCUGGUGCCUAAACAAUUUAUUUAAAAAAAAAACGUUCCUUUAUAGUGAUCUCGUACAAAAAGUCUGGAAAGAGUGCGUACCUGUGUUAUACGGUUAGUUUUUGUUAUGAAGAAAUAAAAAAUAUGUAUGCAUUUUAUGUUUUUAUUUACAUUUAGCAACUUAUACAGGGGAUAACAUAAAAAAUCUGUUUUUAAAGUGAUUUGAGUGUGAAACUCGCCUUUGAACAUAGCGUCUGUGAGACCGCACGUCCAAAGGACAUAUUUUUCAUAAUUCACAAGAGGAAAUUCCAUUAACAAAUGGUACUGAUAAUAAAGAGGAUCUUCUAGAAAUUAAGGAGGAACC